AUGCAGCUUCCCCGGCGUCCGUGCACAUGCACGUGCGCUAACGCGUGGCUUCUUUCCCACGCAAACCGUACAAUUGCAUUAUUCAUCCGAGGCGGCGUUUCAGCUUCCUCUGUUUGUUCGCCCGCGGCUCUCCCGCCCACGCCGAAAAACCAAGACGAGGAAAAACCAAUGGUGCGUUUGAAUGUUGAGCCGAAGCGCGUGUUGAUUCCAGCAGUGGCCGGUAGCGAAGGCUGGUUCCGGACGUGCGUUUCUGCGUGGACGGUGCCGGUGGCCCGUGUGGCGGGGGGCGUCCGCGGCUCGGUGGAAACUCGGCCGCGUCGGCUGCUAAACGCUGCGGCGGAUCUCACUGUGCACGGCUGCCAAACACAAUGUCAACUGUUCUCUAGCACUUGGUUCCACUGCUCACUUCCUGCGUCUUUGAAAUCACAUCUAUAAUUGUCAAAUGUCUAGAAUGAUUUGUGUAAACGUACAGCUAAUAACGUUUGCUCAGUCUGCGUUUGUGCCCUGUUAAAUUCAUUGGCAGUGACUUAAAACAGCUGCCGUUAGUGUAGAGUCGUAUACAGUAGUUACUGAUAUCGAGCAUAAAUUAAACGUGCUCUUGUGCAACUUGUGCAGCCGGGAGAAGUCAAUCACAACAUGGAACAAACUUCCAAUUUACUUCAACUGGGUUUAAUUGAUUAGCUAAAUUGGCUGAUGAUGUCACAGCUUGUGGGAUUUCAGAAGUUACUCUACUGACAUUUUUGCUUGAAGGUUCUUUUAGUUGGAAUAUGUUUUAAUUGGAGUGUUUUUAGUUAGAAUGUGUUAUUUUAGUGUUGUUGUCUGUUAGUGAUCGCUUCAGCUUGUCUUCAGCUAACAGGUCCAGUCUGUGGGUGGGAUUUACAGUGUUUGAAGCUAAAAUUCCUUCCAAAGUGUAAAAUGUUCGUCUAUGGCGCUCCUGCGUUUUCCAAAGUGUCCAUAACUCUGGAAAUCGGAUGGGACUCUAAACUUAGAUCAAAGUUGGGGAGGCUGCGCGAUGACGUGGUUUAAUGUUAUUGGCGCUGUAAAAUGAAUUUGGAAAUUGAGGCUCAUGUAUAGAUCCCAUCUGUCAGCCACAAGCCCAGAGGCCGCUGCAGGUCACAUGACUGCCCCCCAUGCAACAUCCAAACCAGAUGUCCCGUGAAUGGCUCCUCAUAAAGGAUUCCUCCUUUACAAUGGACCGUGACGUUGCCAAAUAGGGUAACACGGCAGAGAGAGCCCCCCCGGGGCGUUCACAUUCCUACCGGUAAUUCAGAAUCGCCUCUGAACCUGUUGGUGAGGACACCUGACUCAUUUGGUGCAAUGAUCGUGUCCCGAGUUGCUGAACGCGACUGCAGAGACCUGAGGUGAUUCAUCUUCAUCGGCUGCACACCGCAUCCGGACCAGGAAAUGAUGGGCUCUAUAGGAAAGGCACGCGGGUUAUGAUGGGCUUUAGACUUCCUGGCCAUUGACAACCUUCUGGAAAGGAAGCUGUUGGUUUUCACUUUUAAUAACAGCGGAUUGUUCCAGAUACAACACAUCUGGACUGGACGUUUCCAGCCAGAAUAACACGAGCCGUUUCAUUUGACGUCACCUCGCAGAUAUUGUUGUUUUUGGGCAUCCUUUUGCCCCACACAUGUAUUGACUCUAACAUCCAGAGGAUGACCAACGAUGUCACACAGCGUGAGUGUAACCACCACAUCUACACGGAAGACAGAUGCUUGUGCAUCGCUAGACACUAGAGGAGGAGGGAGAGAGAGAGAGAGAGAGAGAGAGAGAGAGAGAGAGAGUUUCUGUCACUUGUGAAAUGAAAACAUAUUUUUAGAAGUUGCCUAUGGGUUGUGAUGAAAAGGGAAAAGAGCAGAUGUUGCUGAACAGAUCUGCACUCACUUGUCUCCUGCAUCCUGUGUGAAACACUGAAAUCUGUGCCCGGCACCUUGAGAGGUGAUGGACAGGACCAGGCCUCUGUUUUCUGCCACUGAGAGAGUGAUGCUGAUGUGGGGAUGAGUGCAGGAAUAAUAAAAAAAACAGGCUAAGAAUUCA
rnacentral:lncRNA from 1 species